rnacentral:rRNA from 1 species
GAUGAACGCUGGCGGCGUGCUUAACACAUGCAAGUCGAACGAAGUGGCGAACGGGUGAGUAACGCGUAAUCAACUUGCCCUUCAGAGGGGGACAACAGCUGGAAAAGACUGCUAAUACCCCAUCCUGAAGGAGGGGUUUGCGUCUGAUUAGCUAGUUGGAGGGGUAACGGGCCACCAAGGCGAUGAUCAGUAGCCGGUCUGGGAGGAUGGACCGCCACAUUGGGACUGGGACACGGCCCAGACUCCUACGGGAGGCAGCAGUGGGGAAUCUUCCGCAAUGGACGAAAGUCUGACGGAGCAACGCCGCGGGGGUGAUGACGGCCUUCGGGUUGUAAAGCUCUGUUAAUCGGGACGCGGUACCGGAAUAGAAAGCCACGGCUAACUACGUGCCAGCCGCCGCGGUAAUUC